AUCCAUUUGUCGAGUCCCAAGUAGGACGAAACUCGCGUUCUGGAU
rnacentral:hammerhead_ribozyme from 1 species